rnacentral:rRNA from 1 species
GAUGAACGCUGGCGGCGUGCCUAAUACAUGCAAGUCGAGCGAACAGACGCGGAGCUUGCUCCUCUGACGUUAGCGGCGGACGGGUGAGUAACACGUGGAUACCCUCCCUAUCAGACUGGUAUAACUUCGGGACACCGGAGCUAAUACCGUAUAAUAUAUUGAACCGCAUGGUUCAAUGGUGAAAGACGGUUUUGCUGUCACUUCUAGCUGGAUCCGCGCCGCAUUAGCUAGUUGGUAAGUUAACAGCUUACCACGGCAACGAGGCGUAGCCGACGGGAGAGGGGGAUCGGCCGCCCGGGAACUGAGACAGGGUCAAGACUCCUACGGGAGGCAGCAGUAGGGAAUCGUCCGCAAUGGGCGAAAGCCUGACGGAGCAAGGCCGAGUGAGUGACGAAGGUCCUCGGAGCGUAAAACUCUGUUAUUAGGGAAGAACCAAUGUGUAAGUAACUAUGCCCGUCUUGACGGUAACUAAUCAGAAAGCCACGGCUAACUACGUG